ensembl:misc_RNA Metazoa_SRP Metazoan signal recognition particle RNA
GCUGGGCAUGGUGGCGCAUGCCUGUAAUCCCAGCUACUUGGGAGGCUGAGGCAGGAGAAUCACUUGAACCAGGGAGUUGGAGGUUGUGGUGAGCCGAGAUAGCGCCACUGCACUCCAGCCUGGUGACAGAGCGAGAGUCCAUCUCUAAAUAAAUAAAAUUAGCUGGUCAUGGUGGCGUGUGCUUGUAUUCCCAGCUAUUCAGGAGGCUGAAGUAGGAGAAUAGCUUGAACCUAGGAGUUUGAGUCUGCAGUGAGCUCUGCUUGUGCCACUGCAGUCCAACCUGGGCGACAGAGUGAGACCCUGUCUCA